rnacentral:rRNA from 1 species
GACGUAGGGCGCGAGCGUUGUCCGGAUUUAUUGGGCGUAAAGAGCUCGUAGGCGGCUUGUCGCGUCGGCUGUGAAAACCCGCGGCUCAACUGUGGGCGGGCAGCUGAUACGGGCAGGCUGGAGUUCGGUAGGGGAGACUGGAAUUCCUGGUGUAGCGGUGAAAUGCGCAGAUAUCAGGAGGAACACCGGUGGCGAAGGCGGGUCUCUGGGCCGAAAUUGACGCUGAGGAGCGAAAACGUGGGGAGCAAACAGG